GGGCCCGUAGGGUAGCUUGGAAUCCUUCUACCAUGGGGCGGUAGUAACUCGAGUUCAAAUCUCGACGGGCCCA
rnacentral:tRNA from 1 species